CUAGCAUAUCAAUAAGCGGAGGAAAAGAAACCAACAGGGAUUGCCCCAGUAACGGCGAGUGAAGCGGCAAAAGCUCAAAUUUGAAAUCUGGCGCCUCCGGUGUCCGAGUUGUAAUUUGGAGAGGCGUCUUCUGGAGUGGCCCAGCCUAUCUUCCUUGGAACAGGAGGUCACAGAGGGUGAGAAUCCCGUUCUCGGCUGGUCGCCACCUCCUGCAUGUAGUGUCUUCUACGAGUCGAGUUGUUUGGGAAUGCAGCUCAAAAUGGGUGGUAAAUUUCAUCUAAAGCUAAAUACUGGCGAGAGACCGAUAGCGCACAAGUAGAGUGAUCGAAAGAUGAAAAGCACUUUGAAAAUAGAGUCAAAAAGUACGUGAAAUUGUUGAAAGGGAAGCGCUUGAGACCAGACUCGGCCUUGGACAAACAGCCUCUCCUUCUGGAGUGGCGCACUUGUACACGGUCGGGCCAGCAUCAGUUGGGGUGGUGGGACAAAGGUCCGGGGAAUGUGGCUCCCCUCGGGGAGUGUUAGAGCCCCGGACGCAAUGCCGCCAACACCGACUGAGGACCGCGCUUCGGCUAGGAUGCUGGCGUAAUGGUCUUCAGCGACCCGUCUUGAAACACGGACCAAGGAGUCUAACAUCUAUGCGAGUGUCUGGGCUUCAAACCCUCACGCGUAAUGAAAGUGAACGGGGAUGGGAACCCCGCAAGGGGCGCACCAUCGACCGAUCCUGAUGUAUUCGGAUGGAUUUGAGUAGGAGCAUAGCUGUUGGGACCCGAAAGAUGGUGAACUAUGCCUGAAUAGGGUGAAGCCAGAGGAAACUCUGGUGGAGGCUCGCAGCGGUUCUGACGUGCAAAUCGAUCGUCAAAUUUGGGUAUAGGGGCGAAAGACUAAUCGAACCAUCUAGUAGCUGGUUCCUGCCGAU
rnacentral:rRNA from 1 species